GACGAACGCUGGCGGCGUGCUUAACACAUGCAAGUCGAACGGAAAGGCCCUGCUUGCAGGGUACUCGAGUGGCGAACGGGUGAGUAACACGUGGGUGAUCUGCCCUGCACUUCGGGAUAAGCCUGGGAAACUGGGUCUAAUACCGGAUAGGAGCCAUUUUUAGUGUGAUGGUUGGAAAGUUUUUUCGGUGUAGGAUGAGCUCGCGGCCUAUCAGCUUGUUGGUGGGGGAAUGGCCUACCAAGGCGGGGACGGGUAGCCGGCCUGAGAGGGUGGACGGCCACAUUGGGACUGAGAUACGGCCCAGACUCCUACGGGAGGCAGCAGUGGGGAAUAUUGCACAAUGGGCGCAAGCCUGAUGCAGCGACGCCGCGUGGGGGAUGACGGCCUUCGGGUUGGAAACUCCUUUCGCUAGGGACGAAGCUUUUUGUGACGGUACCUAGAUAAGAAGCACCGGCUAACUACGUG
rnacentral:rRNA from 1 species